UACGUAGGGGGCAAGCGUUGUCCGGAUUUAUUGGGCGUAAAGAGCGUGUAGGCGGCCGCACAGGUCCGUUGUGAAAACUGGAGGCUUAACCUUCAGACGUCGAUGGAAACCGUGCGGCUAGAGUCCGGAAGAGGAGAGUGGAAUUCCUGGUGUAGCGGUGAAAUGCGCAGAUAUCAGGAAGAACACCCGUGGCGAAGGCGGCUCUCUGGGACGGUACUGACGCUGAGACGCGAAAGCGUGGGGAGCGAAUAGG
rnacentral:rRNA from 1 species